GACGAACGCUGGCGGCGUGCUUAACACAUGCAAGUCGAACGGAAAGGCCCUGCUUUUGUGGGGUGCUCGAGUGGCGAACGGGUGAGUAACACGUGAGUAACCUGCCCUUGACUUUGGGAUAACGUCAGGAAACUGGGGCUAAUACCGGAUAGGAGCUCCUGCUGCAUGGUGGGGGUUGGAAAGUUUCGGCGGUUGGGGAUGGACUCGCGGCUUAUCAGCUUGUUGGUGGGGUAGUGGCUUACCAAGGCUUUGACGGGUAGCCGGCCUGAGAGGGUGACCGGCCACAUUGGGACUGAGGUACGGCCCAGACUCCUACGGGAGGCAGCAGUGGGGAAUAUUGCACAAUGGGCGGAGGCCGGAUGGAGCAACGCCGCGUGCGGGAUGACGGCCUUCGGGUUGUAAACCGCUUUCGCCUGUGACGAAGCGUGAGUGACGGUAAUGGGUAAAGAAGCACCGGCUAACUACGU
rnacentral:rRNA from 1 species